UGGAGGGGCCAACUCUGUUUGUGUGUCUUAAGAAAUGUCCUAAGAGUCCUAAGGGUUGAACUACACGGACGAUUUCUGUGCGCUUUUGUCGGAUCCGACGCUGGGAGACAAAACGCGAGCGUCAAGUCGGAUACGACGUGAAACAAGCAGUGGACUAGCUCACCUGGAAAGGCCCAAUGGGUCCAGGCAUCAGAGGACCCUCCUGCUCAUACAAGGGGAUAGGAGAAAAGAAAAGGAUUAGCUGCUCAGAGGGGACCCCAAAAUCUGAAGGACCCUGAACAGUCUUCAGUCGGAUUGCCUCCUAAAUACAUUUUUUGUUGUGUAGGCUUUUGUACACCUCUUAUUAACUGCUAAUAGCAGAUCUUGGCCUGGUAAUCAGUAGACCGCAACAGAAGACUGCUACUCAAAGUAACUUAGUUAGGCCAACUAUUAGACACACAACUUAAAUUAUUAAAUUCUACAACACUAUGCAAUGUACUUUCAAUGUAAACAAAGUCGGAUUUUCCAUAGUGUUAUAACAGAAUUCUAAAAAUGGAGAUGUGGUGUUGACUUUUGAUGGAGUAACUUUACCAUGAGAAAACUUCUGACAUGGACAGGAAUUAAGCAUCUAACCUCUGGAGCAAUUAUAUACAAAUUCUUUACGUGUCCUAUUGAAUUCCUGUAGUCACCUGUGGGAUGGAAAGAGUGUAGCACGUCUCUGCAAAGAGGCACCAUGUCUGGGAACCCAUAACAUAAUCUCCACAGUUGGGAAUAGCCCCUGUAAGCAUGUGCAUAUCAAUUGCCCACCUCCGCCUACUAUUCCCCAAUCCCAAAAGCUUUUUACCUGAUC